UACAGGGGGGUGCAAACGUUUGCUCGGAAUUAUUGGGCGUAAAGCGCGCGUAGGCGGCUACUUAAGUCGGAUGUGAAAGCCCUUGGCUCAACUGAGGAAGUGCACCCGAAACUGAGUGGCUAGAGUACGAAAGAGGGUCGCGGAAUUCCCGGUGUAGAGGUGAAAUUCGUAGAUAUCGGGAGGAACACCAGUGGCGAAGGCGGCUAUCUGGGGCUGAAAAGCUGACCGCUGGAGGCGCGAAGGCUAGGGGAGCAAACAGG
rnacentral:rRNA from 1 species